CGAAUGCUGACAUAAGUAACGAUAAAGCGGGUGAAAAGCCCGCUCGCCGGAAGACCAAGGGUUCCUGUCCAACGUUAAUCGGGGCAGGGUGAGUCGACCCCUAAGGCGAGGCCGAAAGGCGUAGUCGAUGGGAAACAGGUUAAUAUUCCUGUACUUGGUGUUACUGCGAAGGGGGGACGGAGAAGGCUAUGUUGGCCGGGCGACGGUUGUCCCGGUUUAAGCGUGUAGGCUGGUUUUCCAGGCAAAUCCGGAAAAUCAAGGCUGAGGCG
rnacentral:rRNA from 1 species